AUACAGAGGGUGCGAGCGUUAAUCGGAAUUACUGGGCGUAAAGCGCGCGUAGGCGGCUUAUCAAGUCAGAUGUGAAAUCCCCGGGCUCAACCUGGGAACUGCAUCUGAUACUGGUAAGCUAGAGUUUUGGAGAGGGAAGUAGAAUUUCAGGUGUAGCGGUGAAAUGCAUAGAGAUCUGAAGGAAUACCAGUGGCGAAGGCGACUUCCUGGCCAAAAACUGACGCUGAGGUGCGAAAGCGUGGGUAGCAAACGGGAUUAGAAACCCCUGUAGUCC
rnacentral:rRNA from 1 species